rnacentral:lncRNA from 1 species
GAUUUUGUGCACAUCAUAUAUUGAGAAACUUAGGACAACCUAUGGUAGUUGUGGAAGCAAGAUAAUAAAGACUUUCAAUGCAGCAGCGAGAGCAUACACGAAGCAUGAUUUUGAGUACCAUAUGAAACAACUAGACCAAAUUAAUAAGUCUAUCAGGAAAGAUCUGGUAUUUUUACUACCUUAUUUCAUCUUUUACUUUAUUAAACUUUCAAUAAUUUAUGAAUAGAUGAAACCAAUGUAUAAUUCUAUUUCUUACACAUGGUCUCGUGUUCUAGCAAGUGCAAAUAGUCUCUACAAGGUAUUUCUUGACUAGUUGCAAAGAUAACAGAAUGAAUAACUUAUCCCUAUGACUUUUAGACACUGUUGUUUAUAUAUUUAUAAUUCUAUUUGCUUGCUAUGUAAAAAACUUAGGGGCAAUAACUAGCAUUAUCUUUACCGUCUUCAAACUAAUAACAUCCGCUAAUGAAUUUGUAUUAUCUAUAAUGUGAGUUGUAGGAUGAAAUUGGCUACCACACAUGGUCAAGAGCACACAUGCGAACUAACAGAUUUUUAGCCAUGACAUCGAACAUCGUCGAGUUAGUAAACUCAGUUAUAGAACCGGUGAACUCAGUUACAUCAAACAUCGCCGAGUCGGUAUCCAUUGACUAUUUAUUCGAAUGAUUAAGGCACACAAUACAAUGUGGUUUUCAAAGGAUAGAGGUAAUGCACAAGGAACGUUCACACGACUCGCACCAAAACCGGAAGAAUUGCUGAGAACGAAUGCAAAGCAUUUAUUGAAACUGAAAUUACAUAUAGGAAUAAUAAUCCAUAUUUGUAGGUUGGUAAUUUUUCAUAGCGUUGUAUAUCCAACUAAGUUUUAUCGUUAUAACCCACAUUCCUUGAUUUAUUAGUCAACAUAUAUGAUACAUCAACGUAAGAUGAAUUAUUAUGUUCUGUGUAUUGGUUAAAUCUUAUGUUUCGUCCUAUGUACCGUGUAUUGGUUAUAAGUUACGUUUCGUGCAUUGUUUUAAGUAUUCGUCCAGGUUGUUGAACUUGAUAAUAUAGGAACAUUUAGAUGCAACACUGGUUCACAAAUUUUCCUUUUUAUUAUAGGUAUCAUUCUAAGGAUAUUGAAAGAGGAGAUGUAGCCAUUGCUAAUAAUAUUCAGUCUGUUCCACCACCACCUUUGUCUAUUCAGACAGCAAUUUAAGCAAAUGAGAUAUGAAAAGAAAUAUUUAGCAUGCCACGCUAUUGACUGGACAACACUACAAAAAAGGGCACUUGAGAAAUAAUAACAGUAAUAAGAAUAAUUAUCUGUUUUAAGUUUAGAAAAAAAAAUAAUAAAUAAAAAGAGGGUGGCCCUAAAUCAAUUUUCCUUCACCAACGCCAGCUGCUUCAAUUCAUGGCUUUUUACAUCAGUGGAGGAAAAGGAAAGGAAAACUAAAACUUUACAAAGGAAAAGGAGAAAAAUCAUCAAUCAUCACAAGACAUAGAGGAAGGUGCUUUUCCAUUUUCAUGUAAGAGCUUACAUCAACACUGGUUCACAAAAUUUCCUUUUUAUUAUAGGUAUCAUUCUAAGGAUAUUGUUGCAAAGUUAUGUAGUCACUAUUGGAUAUUUGAUAUGGUGUAAUUCUUGUAUAUUCAUUUUUGGCGAACAAUGAUUGAGUUUCGAUGCCUACAAUAUGUGUUACAUGGUAGAAUAGGACUUUUAUUCCUUCAAGAAUGCUUGUGAUGUUUAUGGUUAUAAAGAUGCUGGGAACUAUUUGUUACAUGUUCAUUGUACAUAAUGCAUUUUACAUUUUCUGUCCAUUGAGCUGCUAAUUUGUUAGCGGUUGUUAUGUAUUACAAGUAAUGUGUUGACUUUAAUUGUUGACCAGUUAUAUGCAAGCGAUACUGGUACAAUUCCAUAAAACAUCACGGAAUUUGUUCAGUGCGAGGGAAACCUGCUAUGAAAUACUAAGAUAAACUAGUACUUAUAUAUAAUAAUAGUUUUAUGCAAUAAAAUAUUUCUUGAAGAAACGACAU